ensembl:snRNA U4 U4 spliceosomal RNA
AGCUUUGUGUAAUGGCAGUAUCAUGUAGACAGUGACGUUUAUCUGAGGUGUGAUUAUUGCUGAUUAAAAUUUUUCACAGUACCAAACCUUGACCACCUGGCAAUGUUUGAUAGUCUCUACAGAGA